CGCGCCUCUCCGCCCCCGGCCGCGCCAGCGCCGCGCAGGUGGAGCCGAAGCCUCAGCGGCCACCUCCGGACCCGCGGGACGCCACCCGGGAGGGAUCAGGCGAGCUCGGGAGGAAGCCAGUCGCCCAGGAGGGGUCAGCCAAGCUCGAGAGGAGGCCCGCACGGUGGCCAGAGGCUGGUGGUUAUUUGCCAAGACCACCAUGGUGACCAUGCCUCCAGGCCCGCUACCACUGACUUCGAGGCAAGUUUAAUUUGUCUCUAAAUGCUCAUGACUUCAAACAGCACUGCAGUGCUAGCUGCCAUGAGUCCCCGACCCAAAGGUGAAGAUGUGCGUUGGAGGCUUGGAGCAUCUGGAGCUCACCAUUCUGCAGGUGAGGAGGGAUCUCACUGUAGACUCGCCCACCAUGGAGACCCUGAUGUCUACAACACCCACUGAACAGCACAUUCCCUUCUCCGAUCAUCUAUGAUGUCACUUGUCUACACCAGUGUACGUGUGGCUCUAUUUCUGGACUCUUUCUCAUUCACCUUUUUCUGACUCAUCCCACCCUGCUUAGGUAGUAAAGCUUCCUAGUAGUUAAUGUCUGGUAGACCAGAAAGUCCAUCCUGGCUUCUCUUCAGAACUGUCUGGGCUAUUCCUGGGCUUUUGCUCUACACAGAUUUCUAACCUUUCAGAUCCCGAUAAAAGGACUGUUGAGGGGCUGGAGAGAGGACUCAGCAGUUAAGAGCACUGACUACUCUUGCAGAGGACCCGGGUUUGAUUCCCAGCACCCACACGGUGGCUACAAAUGGUCCUUAACUCUAGUUCCAGGAGAAUCCGAAGC
rnacentral:lncRNA from 1 species